GUGAAUCAUCAAAUUUUUGAACGCAAAUUGCGCUUCCUGGCAUCCCGGGAAGUAUGCCUGUUUGAGGUCAGUAUUAAUUAAAAAUCGGGUUAGUUACAAAUUGUUACGUUUCCGGGGUUUUGGCUAUCUUAACAUUUUUGGUUAAGAGGCUUAAAAUUUACCUUUUUUGCGCAUUUUUUAACGUACAUAAAUUUUUUUUAUUCGUCUUUUCUUAAUUCCAAAAUCUUAUUUAAUUCCAUCAA
rnacentral:misc_RNA from 1 species